AAAAUGAUUUCACACUUACACAGCUCUGAAAUGUAUGCCCUAUAUCCGCACUUAAUUUGGCCACACUUUUUUUGAUUUCCUUUUGUUUGCUAAGCAGAAUUUGGGCGCUCGUUAGUAUAAAAAGAAUAAUUUCAUUUACAUACAUUUUCAAAAAAAAAAACGUCGAGAAUAAAAUAUUAGUAUUUACUUUUUCAGAUUUGCUUCCGCGAUGAUAAGCUUUGCCUGUUAUUUCGCGUCUGUGACCCACGGAAACAACAAACGAUCGAAUCGAAAAUACGUGUAUAUCUCAUAACGGACAAAACCACGCGUGAAGGCGAGUUCGUGCAAACGCGUACUGAGCUAAAAUUGGAUGGUGGCGGUGAGCAAAUUAUUGUUUGGCCUGAAAUUGUAUGCCAUGUCAUUGAUGAGAAAAGUCCAUUGCACUACUUGAGGUCAGCAAAAGAUUUGAAUUAUAUGUGUCAAUAGUUGGCACUUCAGCAGCCGCCGCAAUGGUAACAGAGGCGCGCACUUCUUAUGUGCCAUGUGAAGACAUCUUCUGGGGACAGCGCUUCGUCAACAUUAUCAGUUAUGAUACGCGAAAUGAGCACUAUAUUGUGGACUAUAGAAAUUUCAAUACAACCAUAUCGGUUGACAUGAAAUCUAGCUACGAUCGCGGCGUAGAAUAAGUUGAAUAAAAUAAUAAU